GAUGAAGAACGUAGCGAAAUGCGAUACUUGGUGUGAAUUGCAGAAUCCCGUGAACCAUCGAGUCUUUGAACGCAAGUUGCGCCCGAAGCCAUUAGGCCGAGGGCACGCCUGCCUGGGCGUCACACGUCGUUGCCCCCCCAUCUACUCCUUCGGGAUUGCGGGGGGCGGAUGAUGGCCUCUCGUGCGCCUCGUCGCGCGGUUGGCCUAAAUGCCAAGUCCUCGGCGACGCACGCCACGACAAUCGGUGGUUGCGAACCCUCGGUUGCCUGUCGUGUGCGGUCGUCGCGCAUCGAGGGCUCGAAAAAAUUGCCGGGCUUCGGCUCGACUUUCAACGCGACCCCAGGUCAGGCGGGGUUACCCGCUGAAUUUAAGCAUAUCAAUAAGCGGAGGA
rnacentral:misc_RNA from 1 species